UGUGUAGGCGGAAUCAUUAGCGUCCUGUGAAAUCCCCCGGCUUAACCGGGGAAUUGUGGGGCGAACUGUGAUUCUUGAGGCAAGUAGGGGUGCAUGGAACUCUUGGUGGAGCGGUGGAAUGCGUAGAUAUCAAGAGGAACGCCAGUGGUGAAGACGGUGCACUGGGCUUGUUCUGACGCUGAGACACGAAAGCGUGGGGAGCGAACAGGAUUAGAUACCCUGGUAGUCC
rnacentral:rRNA from 1 species